GGUGAAGUCUGGUUUUGUCGUCUUCAGUAGCCAGUGAGUCCAUGUGUUGAGGUAGGUUUGUUGUGUGCCAGCUGCUGUGUGUUGUAGUUCUUCUAGGGAUCGUAGUUCCUCCAUGUGGGAGAACCAGGUUCUCAGUGGUGGGGUAAUAGGUUGCUUCCAGUAUUGUGGUAUGAUUGAUUUGGCUGUGUUCAGUAUGCGUAUUGUCAGGGAUUUUUUGUAUAUGGACCUGGGUAUCUUGGUAUGGUGUAGCAACAUUUCCGC